rnacentral:rRNA from 1 species
ACUCGAGUGGCGAACGGGUGAGUAACACGUGGGUGAUCUGCCCUGCACUUCGGGAUAAGCUUGGGAAACUGGGUCUAAUACCGGAUAGGAGCCAUCUUUAGUGUGGUGGUUGGAAAGUUUUUCGGUGUAGGAUGAGCUCGCGGCCUAUCAGCUUGUUGGUGGGGUAAUGGCCUACCAAGGCUUUGACGGGUAGCCGGCCUGAGAGGGUGUACGGCCACAUUGGGACUGAGAUACGGCCCAG